rnacentral:lncRNA from 1 species
AUGGCAGAUGGUGAAGAGGACACCGGAGGUGCAGGAGUUGGUGCUGGUGGGGAGCUCGUGAGCCCUGACAGCGGUAUGACCACCAUCCGCAGCAGCCGCUCCUCCAAAGAGAGUUCAGUGUUCCUCAGCGACGACAGCCCGGUGGGUGAAGUUAUAGCAGGAGGCGGGCCAGCAGCAGGACCAGGUGGACUUUUCCUCAGAAACCCCUCUCCCCUGGGGUUAUUAUCCCUCUCCCCUCCUGUCCCACCUGAGAGGAGGAAACACCGCCCUAGCAGAAAUAAGAGUGAUAACGUUGACUUGUUUAGUUUUGACCCCCUACACAGCAGUGACCACUCUAUGCCAACAGGAGGAGAACUGGCAAGUGCUGGAAUAAGAGCAGAUGGAGAAAAAAGAGCAGAGAGCUCCAGCUUUUCCGAACUUGAAGAGCUGAGCUUGUUAGAUUUCUCCGGUCCAAAUUCACUGGGCGGGUUUGAAAGUAGAGAUUCUUCAAUUGAUAAUCAUGGUCAAAUUCAUGGGAAAUACAUGAUUGAUACCGUGGUUCCUCCAACCCCAGUCAAUAGUGUGGUAGGCAGUCGUCCACCUAGCAGUUGCGGGGUCAGAUUCUUUCCAGAAGAUGUUGUUGAAAGGAUCAAUGGGCUGCAGCAUAAAGACAGUGUGUCAUCGUCAUUGUCAGAGACCUGGGAUGAUCUUGGCUUUGACACACAAGGAGCAUCAACCUCAAGUGAUAAUAUUGUCUGGAAUAGGAUCAAGGGAUCUGAGAGUCCACUGAAUAUUCUGGAAGAUGUUAGCGGGAAAGAGUCAGUUGAUGAUAUGACAGGAGAAGAAGGCAGAGAAGAAACUAUACAGUCGGAGAAGGUCCACCAGAAAGGAAAAGUCCUUGAACCCCAGCUUAGUCUGAUCACUGAGCAGGCUGAAUCAUACGACAACUGGAACCUAGAUAGUGCACUUAAAGAUGAAUGGAACCCUGUUUCCUUGGCAUGUCUGCAAUUGACACCACCAGAGGAGGACGUAGCUGGAAAAUGGAGGGCUGCCAUCAUUGGAGUGAAAGAAAAAGUAUCCUCAAUGUCGAGAAAGAAAGCAAUCCUAAACACUUUGACACCGGACACAUCGAAAGAAGAGGAUGAAGGGGUACAAGGAAAAAAAGGAGACAGAAAGAUGGAGAUCCUAGACUUUUGGACGUACUCUGCACAGAAGGGAUUUCUCAAAUCAGACAGCGGAACCACCACAUCUUACCCGGAAUCACUGGAUAUGUGGAAUAUGACAAUUAGAGAUGACAGUCUAUCACCUCUCACGACCCCUGACAACUUGUCUGAAACCUCAGGUUCUUUCUGUAGGACGAACUCCAAUGUUGGGGCAGGCACAUCUGUGGAAAGUCCACUCGGAUACUCUGAAGGUGGAAUGGUGAUGUGGAACACCACCAUACGGGAAGACAGCUCUUCCACGAUAACAAGCCCUGAGGGAGCUGAAAAUCAAAAGGACCUUAGUCACACGGGAUCGUUGGAUGGUGGUGAUUCUCCUGGGACACAUGCAAGCAAACAGGUGGAAGAAGAGAAGACUAUAGAGGAGGAGAGCGGUAUACACAAAGUGCUUAGUGAGACUGUCGACGAAGUGAGGUGGAGAGGUAACGAACACAAUGUUAAAAUAGUCAUAGAGGCGGCUGAAAGUGAAACGAUGGGUGAGGAAACAGGUGACGAUGACAACCAGAACUUGGUAUCUGAUCAUUCAGAAGAUGGGACUUCCUCUUACCAAGGUACUGACAUGUGGGACCUACCUGUGCCUGGCAUGGUCACCUCCACUUCAGAAUAUGACAAUGUCGGAGCUGGCACUUGGAGCCUGACAUCCUCCCCUGAUGCCUAUGCUAGCCCCAUAGUAGACAUGGUACAGCUAGAGGGGCAGUCUAGCCCUUUUGUAGCUGUGACACAACCUAUGUCUGAUCCUCUGGGAAAGACUGAAUACAGAACAGUAAUUUCAGAUGAAGAACAACCAGCCAACCAGGUGUUCCUUUUUGAGGGAACUAGUGAGUUGGGUCACAUGAUCACGAGUGGGCGAAGUUCAGUUGGGAGCAAGAACGACAACAAAAGUAGAGGAGGAUCAGAGGAAACUGACUGGAUAGAGCAACACAGUGAUCAUUCACCCUUUGUUCUGGUUGAUACGUCGACUGUCAUUCAGGACACUUCAGCCAGUCUUCAUUCAUGUCCAGGAGAAGAUGCCAAGACUCAAAUUCAGACUGACCAGUCAUUAUCCCCAGGCCUUGUUGAUUGGGACCAUUUUGUUUCCAAGAAACAUGAUAGCUCUGAAUCAACGUCAUCAUCACAUGAUCUGCCGGUCACCACGGCGUACAAUGAUGAUGGGCUUGCCACAAAAAGCCAAGGUGGUCUGAAUAAUGAGAGCAUUGGAAAGGAGUUUAAAACAACAGAAACCAUGUCUCUGAGCUCAAGCUCUGGGGGGGAGAGAGACGCCAUGAAGUAUAGCCCCGACGGCCUUCUCCCAGGUAGUCGAGAUGAACUCCGGUCCAAUUCUGAUGGAGAUUCAUCGUCGGGCCUAGAAAUGGACUACAUCAUAGUGUCUGGCACAGUGAAAGAAGCUGAGAGAGAGUGGCGCGAUCGGCCUAAACAUGGUAACAGACAAUCAAAAGGAACAAGAAGAUCCAUGGAGACAUUUAGCAUGCUUUCCUACGCUGCCACAGUACUGCAAUCCCAGGCCCAAGCUUCACAAAGAGAACAACAGGGGAACGCAGAACAAAGUAGGCAAAACCAAAUGAUCAGGAGUACUGACAGUCCACUUAGUACAGAUACAGAGAAAGAUCCAGCUGUUUUAUCUACUCAUUACCAAGCAAGUCUUGAUCAUGCCACUGAGCAUUGCAUGGUGCCAGAAAUGAUCACUCCCAGCCAAUCAACAAUUAACUCUGAAGCUCCUCGUCUGUCAGAUUCGAGACCAACAAGUUGCAGUCAAACACAGGCAGAAGACGGAAACGAUGACGAUAAAUCAAGCAUUGUGGCCAGAAGCAUGUCUCCAUCAUUAAGAUACCCAUCGGACCAUUUCUUGAAAACCAGAGAGGAAGUUUAUGUUCAUUCACAGAUCUCAAUGGAAGAUUCAGAUGAGGGUGGGCAGUCACCCUCUGCACCUCCACCAUGUCCGACGUCUUUGGGGGAAUUUAAAGUCUGGAGGGGGCAGGACACACCUAGAACCACUUCUGAACCGCAAUCACCUGUCUGUACCAACAGUUCAGUCUCCCAAUCCAGCUCUUUUAUUGGGACCCCACUGAGUGAAUCAGGUAUUUCUACCGACAGAGGACUUGGGUUACCUUUUUCUGGAGAUUUAAUGGAAGAGGAGAAUGACGAGGAAGAGCAGAGGGAAACUGAUACGGAGCACUCUGAUAUACCAAAAUGGAGUGAGACGGAAGAAAGACAACAGUUAGGUUCUUCCGAUCUGCUAAGUUUCACUGAGGAGCUGACUGGAGGCUUUUCAAGUCAACAGACACAUUUAAAAACAGUGGAGCCAAAGAGGGACAGAUUCCUACCGAGUACACUGGAUUACUACGAUGAACAGCCUGGAAGAACUGAUGAUCGUGAUAAAUGGUCAACUCAACAACAGAUCGGAGACCAUGCAGCUUCUCGAGAUAGCUAUUCACCCAUUUUAAGAAGACACCAACAAGAUGUGACAUCACAAUUUUCCUCCCAGCCACCCAACGAGAACGCUGCCUACGAGUGGACAGGAAGUCAGAAUUUAACUCAGGGUCAAACCCAGUACGGCUACAACUACCACCACAUUGACCAAAGAACUGAAAACCAGAGUCCCCACCCGGCCUGUGUGGAUACAAAAUCCAACAGCCAGCAAAACACUGCAGACGUCUAUGCUGAGUUUACAACUGAUGCCACAGCCAUGCAGUACGGCUCCGGGCAGGCUGGAAGCUAUUAUGAACCCGGAGUCAGUGCCGAGUACAGCUUGCACGAUUCAGGUUCCAAGUUUCAAUAUCUAACGAAGGGCCUGUAUGGAGAUGACUCGGACUCCGUGCACACCUCUGAACUCCAGUGCUCUCAGUAUCAAGCUGAUGGUCAAAGUCAGUAUGAGUCUGACCACGCUCAUUACCAGUUUGAUGGACAAUCGUUCUACCAAUCUGCCGUCCAGCCCGAAAGGGAAGAUCAUGCACGGUAUGUGCAAGAGGAAUAUGUUCACUUUCUCCUGGAAAGGUGA